CCCAACCUGGUGGUCACCCACAUUCCGCGACCUCAGGCUGACUCAUGUAGAUCCAGCUCCACAUCUGGCAUCCACAUGUGGCUGGCACUCCAGGAAGGGGGGGUCACAUCUGGCUGGA
rnacentral:miRNA from 1 species